UGCAAGUAUGCUGAAAAUAAGGAUCGGCUAACUCCGUGCCAGCAGCCGCGGUAAUACGGAGGAUCCGAGCGUUAUCCGGAUUUAUUGGGUUUAAAGGGUGCGCAGGCGGCUUUUUAAGUCAGUGGUUAAAUCGUGAGGCUCAACCUCAUCACGCCAUUGAUACUGGAGAGCUUGAUUGCGGUUGAGGUUGGCGGAAUUCGUCGUGUAGCGGUGAAAUGCAUAGAUAUGACGAAGAACCCCGAUUGCGUAGGCAGCUGACCAAGCCGUAAAUGACGCUCAUGCACGAAAGUGCGGGGAUCGAACAGGAUUAGAUACCCUG
rnacentral:rRNA from 1 species